rnacentral:rRNA from 1 species
AAGUUUGAUGGCGACCGGCGCAGCGGGUGAGUAACACGUAUCCAACCUGCCGAUGACUCGGGGAUAGCCUUUCGAAAGAAAGAUUAAUACCCGAUGGCAUAAUUCUUCCGCAUGGUAGAAUUAUUAAAGAAUUUCGGUCAUCGAUGGGGAUGCGUUCCAUUAGGUUGUUGGCGGGGUAACGGCCCACCAAGCCUUCGAUGGAUAGGGGUUCUGAGAGGAAGGUCCCCCACAUUGGAACUGAGACACGGUCCAAACUCCUACGGGAGGCAGCAGUGAGGAAUAUUGGUCAAUGGACGAGAGUCUGAACCAGCCAAGUAGCGUGAAGGAUGACUGCCCUAUGGGUUGUAAACUUCUUUUAUACGGGAAUAAAGUGAGGCACGUGUGCCUUUUUGUAUGUACCGUAUGAAUAAGGAUCGGCUAACUCCGUGCCAGCAGCCGCGGUAAUACGGAGGAUCCGAGCGUUAUCCGGAUUUAUUGGGUUUAAAGGGAGCGUAGGCGGACGCUUAAGUCAGUUGUGAAAGUUUGCGGCUCAACCGUAAAAUUGCAGUUGAUACUGGGUGUCUUGAGUACAGUAGAGGCAGGCGGAAUUCGUGGUGUAGCGGUGAAAUGCUUAGAUAUCACGAA